GGAAGCGAGGCCUCGGCCCAGAAACACUGGGUCUCACUGCCUCACGCCGUGCCAAGCUCUGGGGUCCUGUGACAACUGAACCAUCAGCUCUUCGUGAGGUUUCACUGGCCCAGCUUCAUCUGCAUUUCGACCUUGACGUCUGAUUUGAGCUCCAUUUAUACCAGAGAUGUAAACCAUCCAUCAAAAACUUGGCCUAAGGCAUUCUGAUCUCUCAGGUGUUGUCCGACAAGUGACGGCAGGCUCUGUCACGGGUGGCGCCCGAACAGGGACCUGAAUACGGGGGACCAUAGUGAAGGACACUGCGGAUCGUGAGCUCGGAUAAAUUAAGGGCAGUGAAUGCACUCGGGAGUAGCAAGAUGGGUAUUGGUAACAGCCAGCUGCUUUUUGUACAUAUGCUUAAAAAAAUGCUUCGGUCUCGUGGAGCAAAGGUAGGGCAUCAAUAAUUAUGUAAUUUUUAGAAUUCGUAGAGAAAGUUUGUCCUUGGUUCUCUAAAGAAGGCACAGUAGAUUUAGAAGUAUGGAAUAAGGUGGGGAAGCAACUUCAGGACUAUUACGAUGGUCAUGGACCCACUAAAAUCCCUAUAGAUGCUUUUAGUUUAUGGGCUUUAAUUAGAGAUAGUUUGGAUCCUUGGCAUGAGGGAGAGAGGGUUGAAGGACCCUCCUCAAGUCCUUCCUCGGAGGAGCCUGACAAGGCUGGUGUUCCCAAGGUUGUCCCUCCGCCUCCUAUAGAAGACUCAGGGUGAGGGAGGAAUAGUUCCUAGUAUAAUUGCUGGUCUUGAUCCCCCGCCGGUUGCAGGUCCAAGAUUAAUGAAAAAAACUGACCUUCUUAUAGCCAUGAUUAAACAUCCCCCAGGACCCAGGCCUUUGUCUGUCAAUUCUCGGUGUCUGUCGCCAUUACAAGCUACCCUGCAACAUGCGGUUGACAGAGGGGAAGAUACCCAGGGCUUUCGUUUAGCUUGUCCAGUAUUUGAGGAAGCUGAUGCUCAAGGGAAUAUGGUCAGAAUCCAUCGACCGAUAUCUUUUAAGCAACUUAAAGUGUUAAAAAUGGCAUGUGCGCAAUAUGGCCCUACCGCACCUUUUACUCAGGCUAUGUUAGAAUCGUUGAGCAUGGAGGUGCUGCCUCCCAGAGAUUGGAAACAGCUCGCUAAGGCAUGCCUGUCUAGGGGAGAUUACCUCCUUUGGAAAACAGAAUUUUCCGAGCAGUGUCAAAGAACAGCUGAAUUAAAUCGGGCUAAUAGAAAUGAUACUGAUUAUGACAUGCUGGCAGGAGAAGGGCAAUAUGCGGACCUCGCCAAUCAAUUACUUUGCUCAGAUACAACGGUGCAUACAUGCCCGGACCUGUCCUUGUUAUGUGGGUCACAUUAGGGCUCAUUCUGGGCUUCCCGGACCCCUGGCAAAGGGAAAUUGUGGAUGCUUAUGGAUUGACUGCAGCAGAACAGCUGUGGCAUCCUAAAACUAAAUCAUCACAUGCUCAAGUGAGGUGGAAAGAUCCCCUCACGGGUGUAUGGAGUGGGCCCGACCCGGUAUUAAUAUGGGGACGAGGGCAUGUUUGUGUUUUCCCGCAGGAUGCUGAAGGUGCCAGGUGGCUGCCUGAAAGAUUGGUCCGUUUUGCAGGAAAUUUUCCUGCCCCUUGGGAUGAUCCCGACAACUGUCCUGCUGAUAAAUCUAAUGGUGACGCUUAAUGAGAAGGUUUAUUGGACUUAUGUACCUGAUCCACCUGUUGUACAUCCAACGAGCUGAAAAAAUGGACAAGUAAUGGUAUGGGUGAACAAUACCAGGCUGUUGCAUGAGCCGGCGGCCCCUGACAAGAACAAGUUCCGAUUGUUCAACUAUACGGGAUCAGAAACUGGAACCCCCAUAUGUUUCUUCAAAAUCAACAGAACUGAUUGUAUAAGACUGAGCGCUUGCACCCUGACAGGAAGGCAGGUAGAUCAGUGCAAAGGCGGGAUCACUGGAGUCCAUCUACAUCUACCUGUGGGUAUGGAGACCACUGGUGUAGUGCCUCAGACUUUUAAUGCUCCAAUAAGACUAUUCCAUGGAAGAGAUGUGUGGCGGAUGCCUCCGUGAGAUAUAAUAUUACUGGACUUGAUACUUAUGUUUUGGACUGGUCUGAAAAUUCUUGUCAUCCCAAAAGAAAUGUCAUUGCAUGUGUCAUGUGCUCUUAUGUAUUGCUUGUAAGAAAUAUUAGUGUUCAGAAAAGUUAUGAUUAUUAUAGUGAAAUUUACUUCAAUUGUCAAAUAAGCAAUUGUGUCACCCGAACAGAAAAUCAGAUAAUGGUUUUGCGAAUGCGUUUUUAGAUUUGGAUCUUAUAGAUCUCCAAAAUGCAGAACCCCUAAAAUUUGAUGCAGCCCAGGCUGCACAGGAUUUUAUCGAACAAAUUAGAAAAGUUCUGCCAUCUACAUCUGCAUUUACGUGGUAACUCAUUUCCAUAGUAAUUAUUGGAGGAGGGCUGCCUCUUAGAUGCAUGAUCCUUCCGGUGCUACUGCAGAUGUUUGUGCAUUCUUUAAUGAGGAUGGCUGGAAGUAUUCAUGGUCUAUAAUUACAUGCUACAUCGCCUAAACCCAUGGUGUAAUUCCCUGCAGAGGCUGAUAGUCAAUGACGGUUAAGAGGAGUAUAGGAAAUCACCAACCUAAGACAAAGCAAGAACACUGUGAUGCUCUUGACUCCAUGACAGGUAAGGGAUUUCUUUAUAUUCCUCGCCUAAGACAGGCACAGUCUAUCUGCGUGAUCAAGGGACCUUGAUCAUAAUAUAUAAAACAGGGGGAGAUGUGGAGAGCAGUGUGUGGAGAGCGGUGUUAGCCAAAGAGGCUCCAUUUUGAAUCUUACCCUCCAUUGUAUAGAGCAAGGAGACUAUGUUAUGAGGAACCACGUUCUUGCCAAAUUAGAUUGCCCUGGAACGUGAUGAACGUUCUGUAACCCUGAGAAACAAGGAAGCCCAUGAGGGUGGGGAAUUCCCAAAGAACUAGCAAACAAGGAAGCAGGUGUCUCUGGAUAAGGGUCAUGAUUAACAACCAAACUCACCUGCUGUAUAAAAGAGAGGAGAAAAAUAAACUUGGGCGCUCGGUCUCUGGGAGCCCUCCUGACUCUAUCUCUUUGUCUUUCUUUUUCUUCAUCCUCACUCCCCCAUUCAGGUACUGUUCGACAAGUGACAGCGGGCUCUAUCACCUAUGCCAAUGUCUUCAAGAGUUCUACCUAACUUAUCUUCCAGCAAGUUUAGUGUUUCUGUCUUAAUAUUUACAUCUUUAAUCCACUUUGAUCUUACUUUAGUGCAUGGUGAUAGGUAUGGGUCUAGUUUUAAUCUCUGGCAGGUUGAAAUUCAGUUUUUCCAACAUCAUUUAUUAAAUAGGCUAUCUUUCCUCCAGUGAGGGUGGUUGGCUCCUUUGUCAAAGAUGAGGUGGCUGAGUAUGUCUGGAGUUGUUUCUGCAUCUUCUAAUCUAUUCCACUGAUCCUCAGGUCUGUUUCUUUGCCAGUACCAUGCUGUAUUUAUCACAGUAGCUUUGUAGUAUAGCUUCAAGUUGGGUAUUGUGAUACCCCCAGCCAUGUCUCUGUUGCCCAGAAUUGCUUUUGCUAUUUUAGGUCUCUUCUGGUUCCAAAUGAAUUUUUGGAUUGUUUUCUCUAGUUUUGUGAAGUAUAUUGUUGAAAUUUCAAUCAGCAUUGCAUUCAAUCUAUAUAGUAGUUUUGGAAGUAUGGCCAUUUUCACUGUGUUGGUUCUUCCUACCCAGGAACAAGGGAUGUCUUUCCAUUUUCUUAUAUCCUCCUCGAUCUCCUUUUUCAGGGUGCUGUAGUUUUCAAAGGUCUUUUGCUUCCUUUGUUAGAUUGAUUCCUAGAUAUUUCAUUAUUUUGGAUGCUAUUAUAAAAGGAAUUGUUUCCCUAAUUUCUCUCUCAGUGAGUCUGCUAUUUGUGUAUAAGAAGGCUUUUAUUAAAUUCUUUUAUUGGUACAUUGUAGGUAUACAACACAAUUACAUUUCUCUUUGGGAAUUGUACCUUUACAUAAUGCAUCUUGGUUCUUAUUUUUUCCCCAUUCCUAGCCCUCCCUUCAUGCCCUCCACCCUUCCCUAUUUACAAAGACUUUAUUUCCAUUUUUUCCAUUUCUCAUCAUUUUUCCUUUCCCUUCUUUCCUUUCCCCUGCCCCUCCCACUACCCCUACC
ensembl:lncRNA